rnacentral:rRNA from 1 species
UUCCAGACUCCUACGGGAGGCAGCAGUGGGGAAUAUUGCACAAUGGGGGGAACCCUGAUGCAGCGACGCCGCGUGAGUGAAGAAGUAUUUCGGUAUGUAAAGCUCUAUCAGCAGGGAAGAAAAUGACGGUACCUGACUAAGAAGCCCCGGCUAACUACGUGCCAGCAGCCGCGGUAAUACGUAGGGGGCAAGCGUUAUCCGGAUUUACUGGGUGUAAAGGGAGCGUAGACGGCAGAGCAAGUCUGAAGUGAAAGCCCGCGGCCCAACUGCGGGACUGCUUUGGAAACUGCCCGGCUAGAGUGCUGGAGAGGUAAGCGGAAUUCCUAGUGUAGCGGUGAAAUGCGUAGAUAUUAGGAGGAACACCAGCGGCGAAGGCGGCCUGCUGGACGAUAACUGACGUUGAGGCUCGAAAGCGUGGGGAGCAAACAGGAUUAGAUACCCGUGUA